CGGAUGAGUAACACGUAUCCAACCUGCCGUCUACUCUUGGACAGCCUUCUGAAAGGAAGAUUAAUACAAGAUGGCAUCAUGAGUCCACAUGUUCACAUGAUUAAAGGUAUUCCGGUAGACGAUGGGGAUGCGUUCCAUUAGAUAGUAGGCGGGGUAACGGCCCACCUAGUCUUCGAUGGAUAGGGGUUCUGAGAGGAAGGUCCCCCACAUUGGAACUGAGACACGGUCCAA
rnacentral:rRNA from 1 species